GAAAUGGGAUACUUGGUGUGAAUUGCAGAAUCCCGUGAACCAUCGAGUCUUUGAACGCAAGUUGCGCCCGAAGCCAUUACGCUAAGGGCACGUCUGCCUGGGCGUCACGC
rnacentral:rRNA from 1 species